GAUGAACGCUGGCGGCGUGCUUAACACAUGCAAGUCGAACGGAAAGGCUCAAGCUUGCUUGGGUACUCGAGUGGCGAACGGGUGAGUAACACGUGGGUGAUCUGCCCUGCACUUCGGGAUAAGCCUGGGAAACUGGGUCUAAUACCGGAUAGGACCACAUUUUGGAUGGUGUGGUGGAAAGUUUUUCGGUGUGGGAUGAGCUCGCGGCCUAUCAGCUUGUUGGUGGGGUAAUGGCCUACCGAGGCGUCGACGGGUAGCCGGCCUGAGAGGGUGUACGGCCACAUUGGGACUGAGAUACGGCCCAGACUCCUACGGGAGGCAGCAGUGGGGAAUAUUGCACAAUGGGCGCAAGCCUGAUGCAGCGACGCCGCGUGGGGGAUGACGGCCUUCGGGUUGUAAACUCCUUUCGCUAGGGACGAAGCGCAAGUGACGGUACCUGGAGAAGAAGCACCGGCUAACUACGU
rnacentral:rRNA from 1 species